GGCGUGAAAUCUAGCAUAUCAAUAAGCGGAGGAAAAGAAACCAACAGGGAUUACCUCAGUAACGGCGAGUGAAGCGGUAACAGCUCAAAUUUGAAAUCUGGCCUCACGGUCCGAGUUGUAAUUUGUAGAGGAUGCUUCGAGCAUGGUCUGGCCUAAGUUCCUUGGAACAGGACGUCAUAGAGGGUGAGAAUCCCGUAUGCGGCCAGGUGCCUACGCUCAUGUGAAGCUCCUUCGACGAGUCGAGUUGUUUGGGAAUGCAGCUCAAAAUGGGUGGUAAAUUUCAUCUAAAGCUAAAUAUUGGCCAGAGACCGAUAGCGCACAAGUAGAGUGAUCGAAAGAUGAAAAGCACUUUGGAAAGAGAGUUAAACAGUACGUGAAAUUGUUGAAAGGGAAGCGCUUGCAACCAGACUUGCGCGCGGCCGAUCAUCCGGUGUUCUCACCGGUGCACUCGGCCGUGCUCAGGCCAGCAUCGGUUUUGGCGGCUGGAUAAAGGCCCUAGGAAUGUAGCUCCUCUCGGGGAGUGUUAUAGCCUAGGGUGCAAUGCAGCCUGCUGGGACCGAGGACCGCGCUUCGGCUAGGAUGCUGGCGUAAUGGUUGUAAGCGGCCCGUCUUGAAACACGGACCAAGGAGUCUAACAUCUAUGCGAGUGUUUGGGUGUCAAACCCAUACGCGUAAUGAAAGUGAACGGAGGUGAGAACCCUUAAGGGUGCAUCAUCGACCGGUCCUGAAGUUUACGGAAGGAUCUGAGUAAGAGCAUAGCUGUUGGGACCCGAAAGAUGGUGAACUAUGCCUGAAUAGGGUGAAGCCAGAGGAAACUCUGGUGGAGGCUCGCAGCGGUUCUGACGUGCAAAUCGAUCGUCAAAUUUGGGGUAUGGGGCGAAAGACUAAUCGAUCCAUCAAUUGC
rnacentral:rRNA from 1 species